GCGCCCGUAGCUCAAUUGGAUAGAGCGUCUGACUACGAAUCAGGAGGUUGGGAGUUCGAAUCUUCCCGGGCGCGCCA
rnacentral:tRNA from 2 species